rnacentral:lncRNA from 1 species
AUAAUCAUUCAUUAUCUUUACAAUUAAUCAUCUAAAGCUACCACAGUUCUUUAAUCAAAGUAUAUAUCUACAUAUAUAGAGAGAGUACACUUUAUAAUUUCGUCCCUUGUCUUCCGUAAACGUAGUACGAAAAUUUGAUACCCAGUAUUGUAAGGCAGGUCAUAGAAGCAAUCUUCCUGCACAUAUUUAAAAAUAAUAGCUAGUCAGAAAAAUGAAUCAAAUAGGUCACCAGAGGCACUUAGUGCCAAAAUCAAUACACAAAGACAAUAAAGUUGCUACGUGGUACUAAUGUACACCGUAUUGCUCAUAAGCAGAAAAAGACAAAUAGGAAAUCACAAUAUCAUUUGCUACAAAUCCAAAUAGAAAAAGAACCUUUAGUUUGACUAUAUGAUUGCUCUGUUACAAGAAAAAAAUUGGAAUCUUAAUCGGCCAUUUCAUGAAUUAAUUUCAGUAAGCAUAGUGGUAAACUUAUUUUCUGUUACAAGACUUGUAGAUUAUUAUUAUAUGUUGACCUCAAGUUAGAAUUCAGUCACAUUCAACAACCACAAGCAUCACACAAUAUUAAAUACCAUCACACAAUCUUAAAUAACAAUGUUUAGAUUUCUAUAUAGAAAGGACACCAAUUAUUGAAGGAGGCAAAGUGAAGAUAGUUAGAUUUCCGUGGAUACGCAUCUUCAAGAAAGUAGUAAGCAUGACCAACUAUCAUUCCCUGAAUCACAGAUAUAAUAUUCAAGUUAAUUGUAGUAUCAGUAGUAGGCUAAGAGAAGGAGGCAAAGUGAAGAUGGGAAAAUCUGUUAUAAUUAAGUAAAUCAUUCACAUCAGAAUCAUAUGGGCUGAUUUCCCUAAGCUAAGUAACUCUCGUGUCUUCAAGCACUAGGCCAAUUUUUGGCUUCAAGAUAUUUAUUGUUCCCUACAAACAAGGAUUCUUAAGGUUUUCAGAGGAUAUACGUCUAACAUUAUACCUUUAGAUGGAUAGAUAAGGUGUUAUGGCUAGUGGAAGAUUAUAGAAGCUCACACCCUUAUCAGCAUGAAGCUGUAAAAAGUGACUACAAUUUUCUAAGUUCUUACAUGUAUCUUAAAACAGGAAACAUAUUUCAGACAAAGAAAGAUAAAUUCUAAGGGAAGAAAGUCCACAUACAGAUUUAAAUUGAUGCUCACCCAUGGUCAAGCAAUACAACAUCUGUUGAAUGAAACCUCCAUUCAAUUGUCCACGAAAUGAACCUCUUCCUGGAACACAAUUUAGUAAAAAUUAUUCAUUAGAAAUCUCAUGUCCCUGUUACCACUGGUCACAUACAUAAGAAACACAAAAAUAGAUCCUUCCUUUUCGGUGACCUCUUAGAGAAUCGGACUGAUCUCCAGGCCACAGAACACAUGCCACAGUACAUGAAAUUACAUUUGAAAUUAUGUCUAAGGAUUCCAUUGGCCAAAAUUUCCAAUAAGUUGGUGACACCAGCAACAUUAUUUACAACGUAUAAUGUACACCUGCUCAAGGAUUUAAAGCAUCAAAAUUUUAUUGAUUUAUGACAACCACUAGUAUCAUUAUUACCAAGAUAACAUUAAUAAUCUGUGAACCUAUGAACCUAUAGUCCACCAAACAAGAAGGUGGUGCAAAUAGUAAAUAAAAUACUCAAACUCAUCAAUUUGCAUAUAUAUAAUAACAUCAAGCCACAUAAUAAUUACCUGGAAUCCUGAUCCAAAAGAAUUUACAACAAAUAUGUCAAACAUCUUUCCCUGUAUAGUUUAAGAAAAUUUGAAAACAUCAUCACUUGGAAAUUGGAAUAUGUUGUGAGCAUGAAAACAGUAAUAACAAAGUGGCAGUGAAUUUCUUCAAAGAAAAGAAAUUGUACUGGCCAUACCUUGAAGCGUCUGGCAGAAUCGAUGAAAACAGAUUCCAAUUUAUACAAAUUAUUUUGAGUGUUAUUUGUUUGCUCACAUGGACAACCUUCAGAGUAUGACCACUAUUCAUUUUAUUACCUUGAGAAUAGAUGCGCCAGCUUGAAAAGCACUUGAUGCAAUCAUUAGCAGUGGCCACACAAAACCAAUUCCAGAAAGCAUUUGGCCAGUUUCUGAUCCACUGUACUCCAGAAACAUACAACUUUAAAAGACAGUAAUGAAAAAUGGCUAGGAUAAGGGAACAACUAUACGAUAUAACACGAAGCAAUACCAAAGAUCCUCAACUUUCAUAAUCAACUUCCAAGUCCAUGAACAAAACACCUCAGGCCUGACAACUUUCACCAAAAAUUUAAGAAAACAGAACCAACUUCUAGGGAACACGCUCUUGGAAAAAGUAAAAAAUGUGCCCAAAUAACUUUAAGUUAGAAUCUUCACACUCAAAUUCCUGCUACUUCUAACAUUAAUUGGGAUCUAUCCGCGCAUAGAACAGAGCAAUAACAUAAUUUAUGAGGAUUAUUCAAAUUAUUUGACAAGAAGAGGAUACAGUUCUUUCCUAUAUUGAUUCUUGUGUCCAGUAGUAUCAUUCAACAGAUGUUAGCGUACGGGAUUUUGUACAAAGGUAAUUCUCUCAUAAAACUCAAUUAUCUCAUAACUCAAUAAAUUAUAUAAUUCAAUGUAUCAAAAAUAAUACACAUACAUCUAUUUUUUGACGUAGGUCUAUAGGAGUAGAUAACCAUAAAGUUACCGUAAAUUAGAUAGGGAAAAUGAAGUGCCGAACCACCGAAAGGCAAAGUGGGGAGAUAAAUUCAGUCAGCCACGCCUCCACAGCUGAACCUCAACCAAAGAAGAGGUGAAACGGCGAGACAAACAGACGGCGAAGGCCGGAGAUUGAGACGGGAGAGGUGGAGGCCGGAGAUUGAGACGGGAAGAGGUCGGAGAGUCGAGAGGCAAGAAGAGGCUGAGGAAUCGGGAAUGGAAGGGGGAAAUGGGCUGGGGCAAAAUACAUACAGUACAGACUAGCAGUAUUAAGUAUACA